rnacentral:rRNA from 1 species
UACAGAGGGGGCAAGCGUUAUUCGGAAUUAUUGGGCGUAAAGGGCGCGUAGGCGGCCUGGCAAGUGGAAGGUGAAAUCCCUCGGCUUAACCGAGGAACUGCCCUCCAAACUGCUUGGCUUGAGUCCGGGAGAGGUGAGUGGAAUUCCCAGUGUAGCGGUGAAAUGCGCAGAUAUCGGGAGGAACACCAAUGGCGAAGGCAGCUCGCUGGGACGUGACUGACGCUGAGACGCGAAAGCGUGGGGAGCAAACAGG